GCGGGCGUAGUUCAUCGGUAGAAUGAAAGCUUCCCAAGCUUUAGAGGGGGGUUCGACACCCCUCGCCCGCUCCA
rnacentral:tRNA from 1 species